UGGACCCAGCCCUCACGUGGUCCAUGUGUGAUGUGACGGGCUUGAACUAGGCUGGUUGCAGAGGGAAGAGAGAGAGAGAAACAAACAGAGCUGAGAAAUGUUUUGAGGCGCAGCUGUCAGAAGUUGCUAAAUGGCUCUGAUUAAUGUGGCAGAGCCCAAGAGGUGAAGAGAAGUCAAGUUGGUCAGCUAGGGUUGACGCGAGCAUCUGUGGGAGGCUGUGCCAAUAACAGGUUCCAUUGUCCACACAGACAUGGCCUGCUUGCCAGUGUUUGGGGUGAUCUGCAUCCAUGCAGAGUUAAAGAAAGAAGAAUCAAGUUGGGUUGUAAGAAUUUCAUCUAACAAAUACUGAUUGCGUGACUCUUUCAUGAACAGAGACUGCAUCAUGACACCACCACUUGGAAUUAUCCACCAUCUUUCUUUAGAGUCAUACGAGGAGCCAAACACUUACCUCAGGUUUAGGUUAGCCAACCUGUUCAACUCAUGCUUUUGGUGUUUCAGGAAGAACACCUAUGAGGUGUUAGCCGUCCCCAUAAGGAUCUGUCCCUCAGCAAGGGGUGACGAGGAGGUGAUUGAAAUAAGUGACAGAAGCAAGGGGUUCGGGUGCUGCACUGAAGGGGCCACAGCCCAGGAAGGCAGGUGGGCUCUGGAAGCUGAAAAAGGCAAGGAAACGGAUUCUCCCCAGAGUCUCUGGAAGGAACCAGUCCUGCCGACACCCUGAUUUUAGACUUCUGCCCUGCAGAACUGUGAGAGAACACACUCAUGUUGUUUCAAGGCGUUACGUUUGUGGCAAUUUGUUACCAACAGCCCUAGGGAAUGAAUACAUCUUGUUUAUCUUUUUCAUGGCAUUGCUCAUCUGAAAUUAUUUAAUUUAUACGUUUCCGUCUAAUUCCUCUUACUAAGCUCUGUGAGAGAGUGGGCACUGAAUUGGUCCAUUUCAUCACCUCAUCUCCAGCUCUGCCAGCAGUCACUGGGACAUCUGGAUGCUUAAUAAAUAGUGUUUGGAUGAGCGUGCAAUGGAAUAUUGCAACAUUGCAGUGGCCAGUGUAUGGCAUUUUCUGUGCUUCUAUUCUUCCACUAGUUCAAACAAUCAUGGGAAGCCUGAUUUUGAAAAUCAUGAUCAUUUUAUUUUGUGUAUUUUACAACAGUGCUUUAUACUGAGAG